GGACGGCCCCGUGGUACAGAAGACCGCCCCACACCCUCUCAUAAACUUUAUUACUCCCUACCCAUUGGUCCCUCUCGCCCUCUUCUCUCUGUUCCCUAUAUCCCCAGGGAAAUGCACCUAGCUUUCAGUCUGGCUCCGCUUGAUGGAUAACUCAGAGCUCGAGGAAGGCGACCCUGACUCGACCCGGCAGAAAAGAGGAGACAGAAAACUCCCUCCCUAGAAUCUGGAAUGAACUCCUUGUGUCUGCGGUUCUUCCCGCCUCUCUGGCUUUGGCAGGACACUAGAUUCUGGCUUACCCUUCCCCGGCUCUCGUCCCUGGCCAGCCACUGUGACCACUGCUUUGCCAGACCACCAGUGUGUCAGAUUCGUUUCCGUUCCGGAAGAUUGGUAUUUGUAUGGUUAUUGUUUUGAAAAAAAGAAAACGAAUUAAAUUAAGGGGAACCAAGGAGAGGGAUAUUUGUAGCUGAGGCCAUUGCUUCAGUGUGGAGCCCUGGUUGUGCCCUUCAGAGCCUCGGGCCGAGAGGGAGUGUGGGGGCUGUGGGGCCCCCGGGAAUUAGCGCGUGGAGUGAACGUCGGGGCAAGAGUUGGGGUGGAUUAGCGGGUUCAAAAGCAGGUCAGGGGGAGCUAAGCGUGGCGACCAAGUCCGUGCUAGGUCAAGGUCCCUGGCAAAGGCUGGCUCGAGCGAUCUGCAGGAAGCCUUACCAGUCUGCAGCUGCCCAGCCAGGGACCAGAGAAAUGCAACAGGAACCCAUGCUUGUCUGCAAUAAUUUACAGGACCCCGUUCGAGUUCCCUGGUUGAGGUGUGCUCACCUGAAAGACAGGGUUUCUCUUUUACAUUUUAACCUUUUCUUUCUUUUCUUCUUUUUGUUUGAGACAGGACCUUACUCCGUAGCCCAGGUUGGCCUCCAGCUCAGGGCCGUCCUGUGGAACCCUGAGAUCACAGGCGUGUCUCACCAAGUCCCACCUCUUUGUUUUUAUACUCCCUCCUUUCUGACCAGAUAAAUACAUCGACCCACGCAGGUAGAAUUUUCUUCUCAAGAGUCUCUUUCUCCUCCUGACAUCGGGGGGCCAUGUGAGUCAAAUGGGGGGUGGGGAUUUCUGAAACACAAUAAAAGAAUCGCAUCCUUCUCUUCCCGCGCGAGUACCUGCGAUAGGGAGGGAGAGCUGGGAGUAGCUGAGCCGCUCUUUCCUUUGCGAAAGGGAGAGAGGUGACUCUGAGCCCCGAACGUUUGUAGGGCCCUGGAUAGUCUUCCCUUUUCUCCAAAAGACUCGUGAGUUUUCACAGGGAACAAACUUGGAGACGCGGUGGAAUUCGAAAUCCUGGUCUUGUUGGUGGCCUAAGAACAAUUUACAAAGCAGCCGGGGUGGGGAUGAAUCCUCGAGGUCUACCGAGGGUGGUGGCCCUCCCGAGUCGCUUGGGACCUGGCAUCGGGCUUCUUUUCCUCCCGCGCUGUGCAGGCCCAGGGAGUGGGGUACGCGGAUGGACUUGGUUUUGUUGAAAUCCGGUGAAUCUGGACUCGGGUCGGGCUGGCUUCACGGAGUAAGCCCGUCCGAUCCCUGCAGGGGAGAAGUUUCCCACUUCCAGCUCUGGGGAAAGUGCGGAAGGUGGCAGGGAGCUGUGGAAAGCGGAGGUGGCUUGGGAGAGGACUGGGCUGUGGAGUCCCGGGCGGCUCCCGCGACUUCUCUGGAAUGCUUCCGCGCUGCAGGCCCUGGAUGAGGCGUGGAUAUGCAGGGUGUAGAGCGGCAGACCCGGAUGGACCGGCUGGUGCGGUGCUCGGGUCCGAGUGGAGUAGGUAGAAGCUUGGCUUCGAGACACAAUGCAAAUAAGCUUCUCGGUUCCCAGUCCCACCGAGCCUGACAUCUUUCCACUGGAAAAACGCCCGGAGCUGAAGGCACUGUCUCUCCUUCUUUAGGCGGGCGUUCUCGCUUCGCGGCUUGCAACCGGCCUUCACAGUUCAGGCUGCAGCGGCAGAAAUAUUGAGACUGACGGCAAGAAAGUAUCCCAACGCUUUCCCGCUCUUCUGGAGCUGCCUCCACCCCAUCCCCGCCGCCGCAUCCUUCUUUUUGAAUAAAUUUUCCGAGAAAGUACAGUUUUGUAUGUAGCCUUUUCUGUUUUCUUUUUCUUUCUUUCUUUCUCUCUCUCUCUCUCUCUCUCUCUCUCUCUCUGUGUCUGUGUGUGGUGGGCGACAGAAGAGGGCGUCGGAUCCCCUAUAGCUGAAACCAGAGUAGAUCUCUUAACCUCUGAGCCAUCCCUCUAGCGCCCUUAACUAGAAUUUUAAAUUUUACAUCUGUUUAUUAUGUGUGUACAUUUAUGCGCAUCCGCAAGCCAGGAGUCAGAGGACAACUUUUGGGAAUGGGCUCUGUUCAACCCAGUAGGUUCUGGGAAUGGAUCAAAUUAUUAGCUUGGUGCUCGGCGUCUUUACCCGCGGAGUCAUUUCUCCGUCCCUUCUUUGUUUUUUCAAUUGACCUUGCAGUUGAAAUAGCUCACAACUAAAGCCAUCCUGUCUGCAGCCUUCUCCACCCAGAACAGAGCCUUUGGAUAUUUAUUUUACAGGCUCAACAGCACAGAGAUAUCUCCACUUUGGAGAAACCAUCACCGACCUGCUUUCUAAAGGGGACGGUGAGGCAUUUACUUCGGAAUUUGUUCGGCAAGAGUCGGAAUCUCAGAUACCAACACUGCGUCCUCAUUCUAAGACUUCUUCUGAACUCGAACCUAUGGCGGGGCGUCCCUGAACAGAGCACAGGUGGAGAGCCUUCUAGGGAGAAGGAAGAGAGGUCACCAAAGCUUGUGGUGAGCUCCCUCCUCCAUCUCCGAGGAACGCUGUUGCUCAGAUAAAGCUCAGAGAGGUGUUUGAAAAGGAGAAACCCCAGAGCCAGAGCCAGCCGACCUAGGGAUCUCCGCUGGCAAAGACUCUUGGCUCUGGGAUUGCAAAGGGACACUUUCUAGUAGUGGGUUCAUUUCAGAGAGCUGGUGGAAAAGCCACGGAAGGCCACGCCCUGGCUAUCCUGGUUAAGGGACUAGGAAAUAGAUCUCAUCCUGUGUUUGUAGGACUUGAGAAGAUUAGAGUAUCAUUAGAUUAAGUAAUUGCUGUGGUUUGGGUCUUGUUAAAAAAAUAUAUACAUAUACAUACACAUAGAGAGAGCCAGUCUGGAGUGGAGUGUUCAGGCUGGUCUGGAACCCUUGAUCCUCUAGCCUCUACCAUCCAAUGCUGGGGUGACAGGUGUGCAGACCUCUCUACAGGGCACAGUGUAAAACAAUUUACUAAGUUUGAAUUUUGUCAUAACAAGAAUAUCUAUGUGUUUUAAGACUAACUUUAAAAAAAUAACAAAAAUUAAAUUUAAAAUUUUAAGAUUGGCUUAAAAAAAUCAGGACUCAGCAGAACCUCCUAGUAUUACUAAAGAGAAGUGUGUAAGAGUCUCUCUCAUAAACACAUCUCAGGAGAUGGAGAUGUAUGACUCCAGUAACAAUAAGCUAUUCUGUUUUUUUUACAACAAGGCUUCCAGAGAGCUGGGGGCAUCUUAGCUCUCCCUGGCUAGGUGGAACCAUCUGUCUUUUGGCUUUUGGCAGCAGGAGAAUCAGAAGGUCAAGGGCACCAUUGGCCAUAGUUUGAAUUCGAGGCCACUCUGGGUUAUA
rnacentral:lncRNA from 1 species